UGCUGCUCUUUUCACAGGCAGAACAAAGGAUCUGAGUUCAGACAUCAAGGAAAAGUUUGAAAAACUAUGUGUGGCACAUGGAAUAACUAGGGACAAUAUCAUUGACCUAACCAAGACUGAUCGCUGUCUCAAGGCCCGAGGUUGAAGAAAGGCCUGAGCCUCCAGUGCUGAGUGGAGACUUCUCACCAGGACACCAGCAUCACCAUUUCCUGUCCAUGGAGUAUCCUGAGACAAAUUCUGCGAUCUGAUUUCCAUUCUGUUUCACAGAAAAGUGCAAUCCUGGUCUCUCCAGCAUCUUCCCUAGUUACCCAGGACAACACAUCGAGAAUUAAAAGCUUUCUUAAAUUUCUCUUUGACCCACCCAUGAUCAUUCCGCACAAAUUUCUUGCUCUUGCAGUUCAAUAAAUGAUUACCCUUGCACUUAAA
rnacentral:sRNA from 1 species